rnacentral:rRNA from 1 species
AGUGAACGCUGGCGGUAGGCCUAACACAUGCAAGUCGAACGGUAACAGGUCUUCGGAUGCUGGCGAGUGGCGAACGGGUGAGUAAUACAUCGGAACGUGCCUAGUAGUGGGGGAUAACUACUCGAAAGAGUGGCUAAUACCGCAUGAGAUCUACGGAUGAAAGCAGGGGAUCGCAAGACCUUGUGCUACUAGAGCGGCCGAUGGCAGAUUAGGUAAUUGGUGGGAUAAAAGCUUACCAAGCCGACGAUCUGAAGUUGGUCUGAGAGGACGAUCAGGCACACUGGGACUGAGACACGGCACAGACUCCUACGGGAGGCAGCAGUGGGGAAUUUUGGACAAUGGGCGAGAGCCUGAGCCAGCAAUGCCGCGUGCAGGAUGAAGGCCUUCGGGUUGUAAACUGCUUUUGUACGGAACGAAAAGCCCCGGGUUAAUACCCUGGGGUCAUGACGGUACCGUAAGAAUAAGCACCGGCUAACUACGUGCCAGCCGCCGCAGUAA